UGGUAGUGUAUUGGACAACCAUGGCGAUCACGGGUAACGGGGAAUUAGGGUUCGAUUCCGGAGAGGGAGCCUGAGAAAUGGCUACCACAUCUAAGGAAGGCAGCAGGCGCGUAAAUUACCCAAUCCUAAUUCAGGGAGGUAGUGACAAGAAAUAACAACUCGGACCUCACAUGAGGUUACGGGAUUGCAAUGAGAACAAUUUAAACCACUUAUCGAGCAACAAUUGGAGGGCAAGUCUGGUGCCAGCAGCCGCGGUAAUUCCAGCUCCAAUAGCGUAUAUUAAAGUUGUUGCAGUUAAAGAGCUCGUAGUUGAAUUUCUGGCCAGCGCUGUUCUUGGCUCUCUGAGUCGGCUCAGUGUUUGGUCAUCCGUAUGGGAAGCUAACUCGGCCUUCACUGGUCGGUUAGUGGAUCAUACACUUUACUUUGAAAAAAUUAGAGUGUUUCAGGCAGGCAAUUGCUUGGAUACUUCAGCAUGGAAUAAUGGAAUAGGACUUUGACCUAUUUGUUGGUUUCUUCGAGGUCAAGGUAAUGAUUAAUAGGGACAGUUGGGGGCAUUCGUAUUUAAUUGUCAGAGGUGAAAUUCUUGGAUUUAAUAAAGACGAACUUAUGCGAAAGCAUUUGCCAAGGAUGUUUUC
rnacentral:rRNA from 1 species